rnacentral:rRNA from 1 species
GAUUCUGGGCGUAAGCGCACGCAGGCGGUCUGUCAAGUCGGAUGUGAAAUCCCCGGGCUCAACCUGGGAACUGCAUUCGAAACUGGCAGGCUAGAGUCUUGUAGAGGGGGGUAGAAUUCCAGGUGUAGCGGUGAAAUGCGUAGAGAUCUGGAGGAAUACCGGUGGCGAAGGCGGCCCCCUGGACAAAGACUGACGCUCAGGUGCGAAAGCGUGGGGAGCAAACAGGAUUAGAUACCCUGGUAGUCCACGCCGUAAACGAUGUCGACUUGGAGGUUGUGCCCUUGAGGCGUGGCUUCCGGAGCUAACGCGUUAAGUCGACCGCCUGGGGAGUACGGCCGCAAGGUUAAAACUCAAAUGAAUUGACGGGGGCCCGCACAAGCGGUGGAGCAUGUGGUUUAAUUCGAUGCAACGCGAAGAACCUUACCUACUCUUGACAUCCAGAGAACUUUGCAGAGAUGGAUUGGUGCCUUCGGGAACUCUGAGACAGGUGCUGCAUGGCUGUCGUCAGCUCGUGUUGUGAAAUGUUGGGUUAAGUCCCGCAACGAGCGCAACCCUUAUCCUUUGUUGCCAGCGGUUAGGCCGGGAACUCACAGGAGACUGCCAGUGAUAAACUGGAGGAAGGUGGGGAUGACGUCAAGUC